rnacentral:rRNA from 1 species
AGCGAACGCUAGCGGCAGGCCUAAUACAUGCAAGUCGAACGGUGUCUUCGGACAUAGUGGCGCACGGGUGCGUAACACGUAUGCAACCUACCCUACAUUGGGGGAUAGCCUUUCGAAAGGGAGAUUAAUACCGCAUAAGACAGUAGCUGGGCAUCCAGCAGCUGUUAAAGAUUUAUCGAUGUAAGCUGGGCAUGCGUCCAAUUAGCUAGUUGGUGAGGUAACGGCUCACCAAGGCAAUGAUUGGUAGGGGAACUGAGAGGUCAAUCCCCCACACUGGCACUGAGAUACGGGCCAGACUCCUACGGGAGGCAGCAGUAGGGAAUAUUGGGCAAUGGACGCAAGUCUGACCCAGCCAUGCCGCGUGCAGGAUGAAGGCGUUAUGCGUUGUAAACUGCUUUUAUACAGGAAGAAACGACUCUUGCGAGAGGCAUUGACGGUACUGUAUGAAUAAGCACCGGCUAACUCCGUGCCAGCAGCCGCCGUAAAAC